UCUCAUUAAAUGUGCCUCAUGUAAGUUUCCAUGUGUCACCAAAAGACUAUUAGCUCUUGCCACUGAGUUAGAGUCUUCUGUGGCAUUAAGAUUCCCAUAACUAUAUCUUUUAAAAAAAUAGUUGAACCACUAAGUUUUUGAGAGUACAAUUGAAUAAGAUUUUAAUAAAACAAGGCUCUCAAAGUAUAUAACCCCUAGAAAAAUAUCGUGUUAGGAUUUCACAUGCUUGGCUAAGUAAACAUCUAAUGAUUUUAGUCUUCUAAUUCUGGUUUCAUAAUAUUAUUUUUAAUUGUGAUGUAAGAACUCUAGAACUGUAAAGAUUCCAUCUUGUUGAACUGAAAGCUAUGCAUUUAGAAUUGGACAUGUUUGCAAGAUGACUACCAUACAAAGCUAAAACACAGCAUUGAACUACUUACAUGGCACCCUCUGACUUCUGCAACCAAGACCUGAAGGUGAUCCUCACAGGUGCCCUGGUUUAAUUCCAUUGACAUCAGUAAUACUUUCUAUGCAAAUGUUCACAUCAGGAAGUUUUCAGGCAGAUCUUCAGAACAGAUAGGCACCAACAAAAACCUCAAACAAGGUUCCAGCCCCACCCACCCAUCUGCAGCCAGAAACCAUGCUUUCCUGACUCUAUUUAUGUCCACGUCAUCAAGCACAGUGCCUGUCGUAUAACCAGCGGCGAAGUACAGCUUCUUUGCAGCUCACUCGAGAAGGGAAUCUACAGCAAGGAAUUACCUGCCCCUGAGAUCACAGACACAGAGAAGGACCCAGAUGCUUCAGGAAGGGCAGAAGUGACCAGACGUCAAUAACAUCACAUUGAUGUUGUACCCCUCCAUGUCAGGGGGAAAGGAAAUUCACUGUUGCUGGUGCUGCUGCCCUAAUUAUACUAUAAUAGAAUUUCAAAAGAAUCUUCUCUGAAUUAGAAAACAUCCCAUCUACUUGCUGCACAAUAUCCUCUUCAAUUUCCCAUUCCAAAUGAGUCGAUUUGGAAGGUAUUCUCAGUGAACUGACUUCACCUUCAGGCUGCUCUCCUCUUGCUACAAAAAAAUGACUGUAGCAGUUCAGGAUUAUGUAUUUAUCAUCCGAGAGAAUAAUAUGAGCAUAAUGACAGCCCCAGUGGAAGUUCUGAGGUCACUGAGAGGGCCCUUUGCUGAAUCAGUCCCUACACUCUGGGAUCUAAUAUGUUAAAUGGCUUAUACUAGCUGAAGCUUAUCCCUGGAGGUGAGAGUAGGGUCACUCCAAACAAAAAUCACAUGAUGAGACAUUCAGGACACUUGGAGGAACAGGAAAAGGGAGAAGGGACCAACAAAUGUCCACCACCACAAUGCUCGGCAACAAUCAGAAGACUGACAUUUGAGGAUGUGUACCUGUAGCUAUGAAAACACUAGUACUUGGGUUAUCUGAAGAUGCCUGAUACAGAAUGAGCUGAGGGUCAAUAGAUAUUGAUUACCCAAGGCUCCUCAUUUGGUUGGACUUCCUAUUAAAGCUGGAUUUGCUCUCCGAGAAAAUAGAUCAGAAUAUUUCCACUCUGUUCAUGAACUAUGAUUUAUAGUGUAUUAAGUACUCUUGCAUUUGAUCUUCCAUUUUGUCAUCCAAUCAACCCUGCUGGUGGUGGGCAGGCAUCCCCACUGUAAGCUUGGGCAGUGGGGCACACACUGCCGGUUGUCUCUCCAAUGCCCCAUCUAUGCUUUUCUUACAGACCCUUGAUUUGGUUCAGGGCAGGAAUUUGUUAAAACUACAGCUAAAAACGAUGGGCAGGUGGAACAGUUUUGGCCCUGGAGAUGUCAACUUAAGUUACUUAGUAGGACUCCUAGAAAAAUACUAUAAAAGAACUUUGGCAUUCACUUCUUUUCUUUGCCUAUCUUCUUUGCGUCUGAAUCACUGAUAUAAAUCUGGAGGAAGAGCUACAUCUUGCAAUCAUGAACUAACAGGCAUGAAGACAAAUGCCACAUGCUGCGAAGCCUAAACUGAAAGAACGAGCCACUACAACUGGGCCUGGCUUGCCUGCUCCUGGGCUGUUAUAUGAGAAAAAGUGAAUUCUAUUUGGUUAAGCCACUGUAGAAUGGUUCUUUUUACAGGCUGUUGAACAUAAUCCGAACUGACACAAAGAGGUUUCUCAACCAGGCAAUGACAGAUCAAGACUUAAACCUAGGUCUGUCAACUCCCUGUCCAGUGAUACUUCCAAGAAACUGCGUUGCCUCUCCAAAAGCAGAACUCACACACUCAUACUCUGAGUACUAUACAAAUGGGAAUUUUAAAUAUAUGCAUUUUUCCUUCAA